UACGUAGGGUGCGAGCGUUGUCCGGAAUUAUUGGGCGUAAAGGGCUCGUAGGCGGUUUGUCGCGUCGGGAGUGAAAUCCACUGGCUUAACUGGUGGCUUGCUUUCGAUACGGGCAGACUGGAGGUAUGCAGGGGAGAACGGAAUUCCUGGUGUAGCAGUGAAAUGCGUAGAUAUCAGGAGGAAUACCGAUGGCGAAGGCAGGUCUCUGGGCUGACACUGACGCUCAUGCACGAAAGCGUGGGGAGCAAACAGG
rnacentral:rRNA from 1 species